UUGAGGUUAAUUAUAAUCAAUUAUAGUUAAAAGUAAAAGUGCAAUUAAAUAGCGCGCGCGAAGCGCGCGUCUGUAGUGCUAGUAUUACAUAACAGUCAUUCUAUUUAUGCAGCAGACAUUCACUCGAGAAAAAACAAGUCACGUUUAAUAGAUGCUUAUUAAAUCCCGUGCUAAGUGAUGCUGAAAACUACUUGCGACAGCCACCAUCAGCUUGUAAAUCCAGUAAUCACGACGUGGACCCUAACUACUGCAAAUGCUAUAAUUAAUUAAACAAUAAGCGCGUAAUCACUAUUAUGACGGUACAAAAGGUAUUCAAUUGGAAUGGCAACCCACGCACCGUUUCCUCUCGUAUCACAGCGUGACACCCAGGUUUACCUGUCUUAACCAAGGUUUUUCAAUUCCGCGAAGUCGAGGCUCGCAUCUUUCCUGAUUAUCGGCAUGUGUAUACGACAGCUUCGCGUACGUUUAUUUAAGCACGGCGAAUAAAACGACACUGGAGAUAAAUUGCGAAUGAGUCGAACGAUCAGAUGGUUAGAGCUAUUCCCCACUUACACCCACCUCCAGGUGGGUAUGAUAUAUCGGCGGCCGGAACCUUGUGCUAGUAGGGAUCAUGAUGCUUAUCAAAUCUAUGUCGGCUCUCUUGCGUCCGAGGCUCGUGUCAUGCCAUCGUAUCUUAAUCGUGAAGCCUUUAAGCCAUGUAAUCACCUCGAUUAACUGUCCAUUAUCCGCCGUGGUUACGGUCUCAUUGAUCUGUGCGUGUUCUAUAUGGCAUGAGCCGACCGUAUCACUCGCGGAUAUUCAUCAAAGCAUGACGGUGAAACGGGGGAUUGAAACUGAACGAAGGGAAAAUACCGAACGACGUGCGCAUCCAGAAUUCUGCCAUUGACAUCGGGAGCGUCAAUCUGACCUAAAUUAGGUUUAAUCGAUGGAACAUAAUCCACUGCCACUGAUUUGAUGAAGUUGAUUUCGGUGAUGCGCAAUAGGCGACAUUCUGAUGGCAGCUUUGACCAGAAACGGAUACACCGGCUGCCCGAAUGGCAAUCAUCGUGUGAACUGGAAAUUAUGCACGAGGGACAUACAGAAAUUAUAGUAAUUAAUUACGACAGUGCCGCUGCAACGGACGCGAACAGAAUACCAAUGGACACCAAUUUCAUCGUCUGGUGUAACUUGCCAUCAAUUCUCAUAACAAUCUGGAUUAGUAAAACCGUCAUACUUUUUAAUGUAGACUAAGUUAAAAUUUUUGUGAAAAGAAAAUUUUUCUAAAACUAAGUAAAAUAUUGCAUUUGACCAAAAAAAUCUGUUCACUUAAAUGAAACGCACAUUCAUGAUGAGAGAGACUAAAGAAUUUCGCUCAACUAUUCAUUAAUCGUCAUUCGAAUUAAUCGUGAAUUAUUCUAGCAAGCUCAGAGAAAGAAUCUGUUUCUCAUACACUUCUUUUCGAACGCCUGAUACUAUUAUCAUCUAUUUUUGCAGUUAACUGUAUUGCAAUUAUUGAUAAAACAAUGAACAAUCACUCAUGAUAAUUAUAUGUAUUAAUAAAAGAGAAUAUAGGGAAUAUAACUAUAUUUGAUAAUCCGUUUAACAGCGACUUUUUACAAUUGUAUUUAUUGCUUUUAUAAAUCGUACUUGUCGAUAAUUGCAUUUACAUGUUAUUAUCAUGGCAACUUGUACGGUAAUUAGUCGUAAUUAAUGUUCAUACGUAAAAUCCGCUUAUGUAUGUCGUGUCGUAAAUCCAUCGCACCGUGUAUUCACGCUACACUAAACAACCUCCGUUGAAACUG